rnacentral:tRNA from 1 species
GCGCCUUUAGCUCAGUUGGUAGAGCAAGGGACUUUUAAUCCCUGGGUCGUGGGUUCGAGCCCCACAGGGCGCACCG